rnacentral:rRNA from 1 species
CUCGGCACCUUCGGUGUCCGAGUUGUAAUUUGAAGAUUGUAACCUUGGGGUUGGCUCUUGUCUAUGUUUCUUGGAACAGGACGUCACAGAGGGUGAGAAUCCCGUGCGAUGAGAUGCCCAAUCCUAUGUAAGGUGCUUUCGAAGAGUCGAGUUGUUUGGGAAUGCAGCUCUAAGUGGGUGGUAAAUUCCAUCUAAAGCUAAAUAUUGGCGAGAGACCGAUAGCGAACAAGUACAGUGAUGGAAAGAUGAAAAGAACUUUGAAAAGAGAGUGAAAAAGUACGUGAAAUUGUUGAAAGGGAAGGGUUUGAGAUCAGACUCGAUAUUUUGUGAGCCUUGCCUUCGUGGCGGGGUGACCCGCAGCUUAUCGGGCCAGCAUCGGUUUGGGCGGUAGGAUAAUGGCGUAGGAAUGUGACUUUGCUUCGGUGAAGUGUUAUAGCCUGCGUUGAUGCUGCCUGCCUAGACCGAGGACUGCGAUUUUAUCAAGGAUGCUGGCAUAAUGAUCCCAAACCGCCCGUCUU